UACGUAGGGUGCGAGCGUUGUCCGGAAUUAUUGGGCGUAAAGGGCUCGUAGGCGGUUUGUCGCGUCGGGAGUGAAAUCCACUGGCUUAACUGGUGGCUUGCUUUCGAUACGGGCAGACUGGAGGUAUGCAGGGGAGAACGGAAUUCCUGGUGUAGCGGUGAAAUGCGUAGAUAUCUGGAGGAACACCGGUGGCGAAGGCGGCAUCCUGGACCGACACUGACGCUGAGGAGCGAAAAGCCAGGGGGAGCAAAACGGGAUUAGAAAACCCCCUGUAG
rnacentral:rRNA from 1 species